rnacentral:rRNA from 1 species
GGAUCCCAUCAGAACUCCGAAGUUAAGCGUGCUUGGGCGAGAGUAGUACUAGGAUGGGUGACCUCCUGGGAAGUCCUCGUGUUGCAUUCCUUUUUUAAUUUUUUUUGCGCGUCGUGACAAACAAAACGCACGUGCGUGACAUAUAUUAACCCCGUUUUUUCUUAUUUUCCAUGUUUGCGGUACGUUUUCGCUCGCUGCUCAUUAUUCACGCGUCUAGCGGCGGCGUUGUGGCCGGCAAGCGCUUCCGAAAGGGGUCGAGACCGUGGUAAAUACGUGGUGGUGCGGUUGAGAGGGAGGGGUGGAAACCGUGGUAAACUCGUCUCCGCAGUUGAGCGGGAGUGGCGAAAAGAAUGUGCAAUCGUUUUUGUAGUGGAGCUGGGAGGGGCAGGCAUAAGGGACGAAGGCAGGGGUAACAUGUCGGAUGCGAUCAUACCAGCACUAAAGCACC